rnacentral:lncRNA from 10 species
AGAUUUACCUGUAUGAAAUUUAUUCAUGGAAAAUGAAUAUAUGCUGUCACAUAAGCCAAGAGAGUGUCUCAGAUCUUAUAAUCCACUGAAGACAGUUCAUAGACAAUCCCUUGAAACAAACUGAAAUUGCUUGGGUAUGGUCCUUUGAGGAGGCAGAGAACAGGAAUGGACAGGCAUCUCUCAAAGGUCCACUAGAAGCUUCCAGUCCCUAACCCCAAGACCUUGUUUGUCUACCAAUAGAAGCACUUCAUGUAUCAAUGACAUUGGGAAGUGAAGACAAGAUAAGAAAAGAGAGAAAUUAAAACCAGGCUUCAUGACUAUGCACUACCCAGUUGUCACUCUGCCAAAUAGCAUGGGGAUACAAAGAAGUUGGUACUCACCUUGAAAGGACAACAUGAAGCCUUAUUGAAGCCAAAAUCUCAGUGUUCUGGAGCCAUUUACCUCUACCACCAUAUCUGGUAAUUAAACACGAGGAGGGUACCAACAUUUAAAGCAUGGCCUUUGUGGCUGUGUCAGGAAACAGUUUUCCUGAAGAACUCCUCAAUGAGACAAGAAUUACAGAGUGUAAUUAGAAAUCGUUUGCCAUUAAAUAUAGUUUCAAUUGGAAUGUCAUUUAAAGGUUUGAGAAAAAAUUCUAGCUCUUGUGUGUCGUUUUGAAUUUUCUCCCUGUUGAUUACUUUCUGCUUAGAAAAUAUAUUAAGUAUAAUUAGAGUGAAAGAGAAAGAAAAAUCACUGAUUAUUUCUGUAUCUGUGAGCAACCUAUAGGGAGAUUAAAAGAACGUCAUUGUAGUAUACCUAAGUCCGCAGUCUAAAUGAACAUUUUUAAACUUGUUCUGCCGUGGUGCUAAAAGUAAGAAUAGGCCAACACUGAAAAAAAAAUUAAGUAUACAUUCUCCAAAUUUGUCAUGAUUUCCAUCCAUUAGGUUCUUGCAGAUUGUUGGGGUCUCUUUUCACUCCUGUAGCAGUUACAGAUCCACAGCCAACCUCUCUUUCUAAGACAUAUAUUAAAGUCUUCACCAUUUGAUGAGGACUUUUCACUGCUAAGAUUAACCUGAUGGACAAAUUACAGUAUCUCUCCUGCCAAAAUGAUGUUUUCCUAAUACAAAUGCAACUUUGUGACCGACUAUGUUUCAUUUUCUCCCUUGCUUCAAAUCCUGCUACCUACCGGGGAGAAUUUUCACUUCUGACAGCAAAAAUAAAUCUCUGCAUGAAGACAGGUAGGAAAAUACAGCUUUCAUGUCAGAGGGCUCAGAUUUUCUAUUUCACAUUCAAGAAAUGAUACCUCUUUGAGGUGUUUGGUUGUAUUCUGAAAGCAGAGUACUACACACAAACAUUGAUUCUUUUUCACUAUUUCAAAAAAAAAUUGUCUUCAUUGAGCUAAAACCAAUUUCAGUCUCAGUUGUCUUAUGUACACAGAGACUUCACGUGAACAGUGAUGCCACCUUAUCGAGUGGACUCUGCUACCCAUUCUAGAGCCUAUCUCUGCUUCCUUUUACUUGCUGCCUCUGUUUCCUGCCUACCUGCCCCCUUUCAUCUCUUGCAUUUGGUUUCACUCUACUUAAAGUGCUCUUUGAUAUUGACAACAACCAUUCUCUUGGCAAAAAAUAUUGAUGUUUUCAUGUCUUCACAACCUUGAAUUCUGUUGCACUCAGAGCUGUCUCGGUCUCUUCCUCUUUCUCUGACUGCUCUGUUUCUCUCUUCUUAGAUACACUGACUCAACAUUCAGCCCUUCUUGUUUCUGAAGGUUCUGUCCUCUGCCCUUCAUACUUUUCUUUUCUUUUUUAUCUUUCUUUUUUUUUUUUUUUUUUGAGACAGUUUCGUUCUUGUUGCCCAAGCUGGAAUGCAAUGGUGUGAUCUCGGCUCACUGCAACCUCCGCCUCCCAGGUUCAAAUGAUUCUCCUGCCUCAGCCUCCUGAGUAGCUGGGAUUACAGGCACAUGCCACCACGCCAGGCUAAUUUUUUGUAUUUUUAUUAGAAACGGGGUUUCACCAUGUUAGCCAGGCUGGUCUCAAACUCCUGACCUCAGGUGAUCCGCCAGCCUUGGCCUCCCAAAAUGCUGGGAUUAUUAGCAUGAGCCAUCGUGCCCAGUCCAUACUUGUCACUCAUACUGUUUCAGUCAUUGAGUUUAUAAACUCCAUUGCUUCAACUCUCUCCUCUGAGAAGGUAAUCCCCAAGCCUCCAUCUCCAAUUCUUAUUUUCCAUGUGCUCCUCCUGUUUACAAAUGGCCACAGGCAUUUCCAUUUGAAUGACUCGCCAUAAUGUCAAAUUCUGUAUUUAACCUAUUGGAAAUUGACAUCCUCAUCUUUUCUCCAGAUUAGCUCUCCUUUCUCAGUAAUCCAGCUCUAUCCUUGAUUUCACCGUUAGUUCAGUUUGCCAAAUCACAAAACUUAGUAUCAUUUCUUCUCAUUAGUCACAGAAUAUAAACUUCAACAGAAUGCAGACUUUGUUUUGUUUGCUGAUGAAGGUCCAGGUCCUAGAAGAGAGCCUAGCUCAAAGUAGGUUCUUAAUAAAUACUUACUGAAGGAACAAAUUGUGAGUAUUCAAUGAUAGAAUACACAUAAAGUGAUUGCUAUUAUAUUAGCUGAAGUUCUCAAUAAAUGUUACCUAUCACAUAUUAUUAUUUCUAUGAUUCCUAUUUUCAGUAGUAAUUGCAGCAUUAAAAAGAUGACCCUAAGCACCUCAUUUUCUUGCAUUUAUUUAUAAUUUUUUGAUAUUUUAUUUUUCUCCUUAAUUUUAGAGUGCAGAAACUUUGGUUUGUUGUAGUCCUUUGGCCACAAGGCCUCCAGCAUUUACAACCAUGCAAAGGAAGAUCGCUAAAGAACAGUCUUCCCUGGUUUUGCAGAGGGGGAGGCAAAGUAUAAGAGAGACAGAAAUCUGGGAGUGAAAGGAUCACUCAUCUUGUUUAUAUGUUGGUUUUGUAGGCACUAAGUUUGAGGCACAAAGUUUUCGUAGUCCUUUGAACAAUAAUAAAUGACAAAUGAUCUGAAGAGAAUAUUAAAACAUUUUCAAUUUGAAUCUUCAAAAAAGUAGAUGGAAGGUGUUCUCGUUGAAUUUGGACCACAGGUGACACACAAAAAAAUUCAAAAUGUUAAAUUAUUUUAUCUCUUUGUAAGAUUAUUAUAAUUUGAUAAGCAUUCUUAUUUAACAUUAUCAGAAGAACAAAAACAUAACAGCAAACAAAUAUAAUUUAAUUAUUUUGCUCCUGGUGUGUUUUGCCAUGUUAAAAUGAGCUUUGGGGGUUUUGAUUUGAGAACCUGCCUCUAUUUAUGUUUUCUUUCACUAUUCUGUUACUUUAUGUUGUUUCAUUAACACAAUUUAUAUUCUUGCUUGUUUUCCGUAUUUUGUUAAUUUUUACGUAUAUGUAAUUAUUCAUUUUUAGAAACUCUUAUUUUGGCAAAGCUAGAAGGUAUUCAUGCGUUGGAGUACAAUGUUAAUAUAUCUCCGAUUUGUUACG